UACGUAGGGGGCAAGCGUUAUCCGGAAUUACUGGGCAUAAAGCGCACGCAGGCGGUUCGCCAAGUUUGGAGUGACAGUUGUCGGCUCAACCGACAAAGGACUUCAAAAACUGGUGAACUUGAGGACGAGAGAGGAACAUGGAACUCCAGGUGUAGUAGUGAAAUGCGUAGAUAUCUGGAAGAACACCAAUGGCGAAGGCAAUGUUCUGGCUCGUUUCUGACGCUCAGGUGCGAAAGCCAGGGGAGCGAACGGG
rnacentral:rRNA from 1 species